UGGGCAUUAGCCAAAUGGUAAGGCUACGGACUCUGAAUCCGUGAUUACUGGUUCGAUCCCAGUAUGCCCAA
rnacentral:tRNA from 1 species